rnacentral:rRNA from 1 species
AGUGAACGCUGGCGGUAGGCCUAACACAUGCAAGUCGAACGGCAGCACAGUAAGAGCUUGCUCUUACGGGUGGCGAGUGGCGGGCGGGUGAGGAAUACAUCGGAAUCUACUUUUUCGUGGGGGAUAACGUAGGGAAACUUACGCUAAUACCGCAUACGACCUACGGGUGAAAGCAGGGAAUCUUCGGACCUUGCGCGAUUGAAUGAGCCGAUGUCGGAUUAGCUAGUUGGCGGGGUAAAGGCCCACCAAGGCGACGAUCCGUAGCUGGUCUGAGAGGAUGAUCAGCCACACUGGAACUGAGACACGGUCCAGACUCCUACGGGAGGCAGCAGUGGGGAAUAUUGGACAAUGGGCGCAAGCCUGAUCCAGCCAUACCGCGUGGGUGAAGAAGGCCUUCGGGUUGUAAAGCCCUUUUGUUGGGAAAGAAAAGCAGCAGGUUAAUACCCCGCUGUUCUGACGGUACCCAAAGAAUAAGCACCGGCUAACUUCGUG